rnacentral:rRNA from 1 species
AGCGAACGCUGGCGGCAGGCCUAACACAUGCAAGUCGAACGAACCUUUCGGGGUUAGUGGCGGACGGGUGAGUAACACGUGGGAACGUGCCUUUAGGUUCGGAAUAACUCAGGGAAACUUGUGCUAAUACCGAAUGUGCCCUUCGGGGGGAAGAUUUAUCGCCGUUAGAGCGGCCCGCGUCUGAUUAGCUAGUUGGUUGAGGUAAUGGCUCACCAAGGCGACGAUCAGUAGCUGGUCUGAGAGGAUGAUCCGCCACAUUGGGACUGAGACACGGCCCAAACUCCUACGGGAGGGAGGAGUGGGGGAUCUUGCGCAAUGGGCGGAAGCCUGACGCAGCCAUGCCGCGUGAAUGAUGAAGGUCUUAGGAUUGUAAAAUUCUUUCACCGGGGACGAUAAUGACGGUACCCGGAGAAGAAGCCCCGGCUAACUUCGUG